UCCAAUCUCCCCCUCUUCUAUAACCUUCCCCAAUCUUCAUUACACUUCCGCGUGGAACCGGACAGAGGACUCCGGCGGUCAUGUCUGCUACUCCCGUCUGCGGAAUGGAACUACGAUUCCGCGGACUCCUCGGAAUGAAAAUCGCAAUUCCACGGAACGAUCGAUGGGUUCUUAAUCUCCAGUUCCGAUCGGAACGAUCGAUGGGUUCCUGGAAGAUGGGUUUUCAUUUCAAUUUCCUGGAAUGAUCGAUGGGUUCCGUGGGAACUCCGAUCGCAGUUUCUAAUCUCCAGUUCCGAUCGCGAGAUUGAACCCAUCGUUGAUUCGUUCCGAUCGAGUUCCGAUCGGACGGCUGAUUCGAACGGACGGCCGGAUCGAAGGUCCGCAAAAGGGACCGUUUGAAAAACCGGCCGUCCCAGAAUCGCGUCCUAAAAAAAUAAUAUUUAUUCUGAAUGGUAUGUAAUAUAUAUUUUUAUUAAAUUUUUAAAUGGUAAUUAGUCAAUCAUUGGAGGCUAAAUACCCAAUUAUAUUUUAA
rnacentral:lncRNA from 1 species